ACCCAGUAUAAACCUACCUGCCGAUGCCGGAGGAAAGACUCGAGUCGCACGCCAAGAAAUACCUCGCCAUCUCCUCUCGCCGCUCCACUUGAACCAGUCUUUCCCUGUCACGCUCAUCUCUCCGUCCUUCCCUCACAUCCGCCCCAUGGCUUCUGCCAAGGUGGAUAAUCGCGUCUCGUUCGGAUCCAAGAGGUCCCGUAAUGAAGCUUCUCGGAGUGAGGGAGAUUGGACAUGCCCUCAAUGUGGUAACAUGAACUUCAGUUUCAGAACUGUAUGCAAUCGUGGAAAAUGUGGUGCUCCUCGACCGUCAACCAGUCCAAGUCCAAGAAUAGGGCCAACACCUAUCCCUGGAGCUUUUGAUCAUCCAGCACCUCUUUAUUAUGGAGGUGUUGGAGCACCACAACCCAUGCCACUUGGAAUGCCUGGUGUCUAUGGUGCUCCACUUCCACAUGCUGGCAUGUGUUAUGACUAUGGGCAGCAAAGCAGUGCUUCUGGACCAUACGGUCUUGUAUCUCCAUAUGGUGCACCUGGCCCAAUGGGAGGCAUGGGUUACGGUCCUGGCCUUAGUAUGGCCCGGUAUGGAUAUGGGUACCGAGGAUCACCAGUACCGUCCAUUUGGGUUCCGAAGGUCCCAAGUCCUUGGUCUGGAGGAGCUCUACCUGAUAACAAUGCUUCACGAAAACGUCGUGGAGGGCCUGAUGGGUUGUCAGAAGGUGAUUGGAUCUGUCCCAAUUGUGACAAUGUUAACUUUGCCUUCAGAACCACUUGCAACAUGAAGAAAUGUGGAACUCCAAGACCUGUUCCUGAUGUGCUCCACUUCUCACUUACUUGGAGGAGCCAUUCUCGUUGGCAUUGAGAACUAUUUUCACAAGUAAACUAACAGAUUAUUCUAAGUGUUCUGCUCUUAGCACUUUGCAAUAACUGGUUGCAAGUGGAAGAUCUUUUUCUUAUGGACGUGGGUUGGCCUUGAACUAGCUUAUGCUGUCCAAGUUGCAUGUCUAGUCAAAUAUGAACAAUCCUUGCAUCUAAUCGAGGUGCAUCUGGCAACAAGGAUUACUCGGAUGCACCCGAAGGUAGCUGGACAUGUAACAAAUGCAACAACCUUAACUAUCCAUUCCGAACUGUCUGCAACAGGAAAGGAUGUGGAAACGAGAAGCCUUCAGCAACGAAAUAGGCAUUUAACCAGAUCCUGCUAUUAAUUGUUGUUUGAGAAUGAAAUGAGGACAGGAUUUUUGAUUUCGAUGAGAUAGUUAUUGUGAAGUCUGAGAUUGUUAUCCAUAAGAUGAUUAAUAGUUGCUUUUGCUGAAUUUGGACCAUUUUGCGACUUAUAUUCCAGUAAUUUUUGAAGUUACUAUUGGCAUUUGUAUUGCUUUGGUGUUGUUAGAAGCUAUUAUUGGCAUUUUGUA